AAAUCAUUGAAGCCUGAAUGUUUAUACAGUACCCAAUCAGAUUGUUCCAACAGUUGGUGUUAGAUUCUCAGCAGAUGACAUGGCAGAUUAUAAACCUAAACUAAUGCACUCACAAAUGAGGAGGAAAGACAAGGGGCUUUGAUGCAAUUGACGCUACUCUAGAAAGGGAUAGUGAUUGCAUCGCCUGAUUAAUUUCCUAGAGACGUUCUUGCAUUUGUCCACGGGAAAACACUCCAAGAUGACAGGGUCAACGGACGAGCAUUACCGGGUACUGGAGGUCCAAGUUCCCAUUCACGCUAAUACCUGUAAGUUUCAAGGGGGAGAAAAUGGAUGAU